GUGGGGAAUAUUGGGCAAUGGGCGAAAGCCUGACCCAGCAACGCCGCGUGAGGGAAGAAGGCCUUCGGGUUGUAAACCUCUGUCCUUGGUGACGAAAAAAAUGACGGUAGCCAAGGAGGAAGCCCCGGCUAACUACGUGCCAGCAGCCGCGGUAAUACGUAGGGGGCGAGCGUUGUCCGGAAUUACUGGGCGUAAAGGGUGCGUAGGUGGCCUUUUAAGUUGGAUGUGAAAUACCCGGGCUUAACUUGGGGGGUGCAUCCAAAACUGGGAGGCUAGAGUGCAGGAGAGGGAAGCGGAAUUCCUAGUGUAGCGGUGAAAUGCGUAGAUAUUAGAGGAACACCAGUGGCGAAGGCGGCUUUCUGGACUGUAACUGACACUGAGGCACGAAAGCGUGGGGAGCAAACAGGAUUAGAUACCCUUGUAGUCC
rnacentral:rRNA from 1 species